rnacentral:rRNA from 1 species
CCCUGUCGUUAGUUGAAUAGAUCUAACGAAACUGCCAUUUCAAAAUGGAGGAAGGCGGGGAUGACGUCAAGUCAGCACGGCCCUUACGCCUUGGGCGACACACACGCUACAAUGGUCAGGACAAAGAGUUGCCAACCCGCGAGGGGGAGCUAAUCUCGUCAAACCUGGCCUCAGUUCAGAUCGGAGGCUGAAACUCGCCUCCGUGAAGGUGGAGUUGCUAGUAACCGUAGGUCAGCACACUACGGUGAAUACGUUCCCGGGUCUUGUACACACCGCCCGU